UUCCCUGGUGGCUCAGAUAGUAAAGUGUCUGCCUGCAAUGUGGAAGACCUGGGUUUGAUCCCUGGGGCGGGACGAUCCCCUGGAGAAGGAAAUGGCAACCCAUUCCACUACUCUUGCCUGCAAAAUUCCAUGGUUGGAGGAGCCUGGUGCUCUUUGACAUCGAGGAGGAGGAGAGAGUCCAGCAGACUACACGUGCUGCUCACGGGACCUCCUCCAAGAAAGGCCUCUGGAUAAUAAAGGGUGAGCAGAUACUCAGCCACAUCAAAGAAGAGAUCUAAAGUCUACAUUGUGACCUGAGAAUAGAGCGAAGCCUUUCAGCCUUAUAAUCUUGAGAACAGUUAACCAAAUGAUCGCUUGAAGUUCCUGUUCUCGGCAACACCAUGAUGCUGCAGGAGACCCGAGUCCAAAGUUCAC